UGGGGAAUAUUGCACAAUGGGCGCAAGCCUGAUGCAGCCAUGCCGCGUGUAUGAAGAAGGCCUUCGGGUUGUAAAGUACUUUCAGUCGGGAGGAAGGUGGUAAGGUUAAUAACCUUAUCAAUUGACGUUACCGACAGAAGAAGCACCGGCUAACUCCGUGCCAGCAGCCACGGUAAUACGGAGGGUGCAAGCGUUAAUCGGAAUUACUGGGCGUAAAGCGCACGCAGGCGGUUGAUUGAGUCAGAUGUGAAAUCCCCGGGCUUAACCCGGGAAUUGCAUCUGAUACUGGUCAGCUAGAGUCUUGUAGAGGGGGGUAGAAUUCCAUGUGUAGCGGUGAAAUGCGUAGAGAUGUGGAGGAAUACCGGUGGCGAAGGCGGCCCCCUGGACAAAGACUGACGCUCAGGUGCGAAAGCGUGGGGAGCAAACAGG
rnacentral:rRNA from 1 species